GUACGUGGGGGUCUGUAUUGAGUUGAUGUGACAUAAGCCAACGUUCCUGCGGGUUUGGGGUGGGAUCACACCCCGAAUAACCCCCUUACGAUCGGAAUAAACCCUCUCAAGCUCUCAAGUCUUUGUUAUUCUGUACGUUGUGAAUUGAAGGAGGGAUCCGGGGUGCAGGGGGUGAUGAGGAAGAGAACACAUGCAAGGUCUCCUUCAAACCUUCAACCCCCAAUGAUUAACGGAGGCCAACAUGCCAUUGACUGGUUGUGUGUCGUGUCCUACAUUAAACAUAGGACUCCUAUAUGGAUUUAAUUGUUGUGACAUUCGCAAUAUUGCCAGAGCACCUUAGCCGGCCCUUAGAGCAAUCGCCAGUGAAGUUCAAAAAUCCUUGAUCGAGUGAUAUAGUAUUUUGGGUGCUUUGCACCGUUGGAUUAUUGCCAGUGAAGUUCAAACCAUCCUUGAUCCAGUGAUAGAAUCUUUUGGUUGUUUCGCAUCGUUGGCAUCGUUGGAUUAUUGCCAGUGAAGUUCAAAACAUCCUUGAUCCAGUGAGAGAAUCGUUUGGGUGUUUUGCGUCGUUGAUUUACGCCAAAGUUUUAGAAUAACGAAUACUAAUUCGGCAAAGUUUCAGGAAGAAUUUCUUUGUGGACGUUAAGGUGAACUUAAAAGCGGCAGAUAUUUAAUUACUGUUUUAGCCCUCGUCAUGCUAAUGCGAUAAUCAUCACAUCUGACCUGAUUCUGCACUUCUCUGGUUUGGGGAUUCCUCGAUCGCAGCGGAUUCUUUGUAUUCGAAGUUAACACUAAUACAGCUGUAUAACCUGCAUUUAAACAGUAUAGUAUUUGGAUGGCUCCCACCAAGAACAUGAUGCUAUACAUAUUGGUCGCAUAUUUAUGCCUACUUCUGAACAUUGGAUCAGCGAAUUUUCAUUGUCCAGAGCAUGAAUACCAAGUUCUCUACGUCCAGGAAGGGGUUUCGAUCACAUUACCCUGUACCUAUACACCUACAAACAUCGAUACGGACGUUAAUUUUUACUGGUAUGCUAAGCAUGCUA